AGUGAACGCUGGCGGUAGGCCUAACACAUGCAAGUCGAACGGCAGCACAGUAAGAGCUUGCUCUUACGGGUGGCGAGUGGCGGACGGGUGAGGAAUACAUCGGAAUCUACUUUUUCGUGGGGGAUAACGUAGGGAAACUUACGCUAAUACCGCAUACGACCUACGGGUGAAAGCAGGGGAUCUUCGGACCAUGCGCGAUUGAAUGAGCCGAUGUCGGAUUAGCUAGUUGGCGGGGUAAAGGCCCACCAAGGCGACGAUCCGUAGCUGGUCUGAGAGGAUGAUCAGCCACACUGGAACUGAGACACGGUCCAGACUCCUACGGGAGGCAGCAGUGGGGAAUAUUGGACAAUGGGCGCAAGCCUGAUCCAGCCAUACCGCGUGGGUGAAGAAGGCCUUCGGGUUGUAAAGCCCUUUUGUUGGGAAAGAAAAGCAGCAGGUUAAUACCCCGCUGUUCUGACGGUACCAAAAGAAUAAGCACCGGCUAACUUCGUG
rnacentral:rRNA from 1 species